GAGUUGGUAUCUCAGUGGUAGAGUGCAUGCUUUGUAUGUAUGAUGUGAUGGGUUCAAUCCCCAGCUUUUCCC